rnacentral:rRNA from 1 species
UACGUAGGGGGCAAGCGUUGUCCGGAAUCAUUGGGCGUAAAGCGCGUGUAGGCGGCUUCGUAAGUCCGUUGUGAAAGUCCAGGGCUCAACCCUGGAAUGCCGAUGGAUACUGUCGGGCUAGAGUCCGGAAGAGGAGUGUGGAAUUCCUGGUGUAGCGGUGAAAUGCGCAGAUAUCAGGAGGAACACCAAUGGCGAAGGCAGCACUCUGGGACGUGACUGACGCUGAGACGCGAAAGCGUGGGGAGCAAACAGG